AUUGAACGCUGGCGGCAGGCCUAACACAUGCAAGUCGAGCGGUAGCACAGAGAGCUUGCUCUCGGGUGACGAGCGGCGGACGGGUGAGUAAUGUCUGGGAAACUGCCUGAGGGAGGGGGAUAACUACUGGAAACGGUAGCUAAUACCGCAUAACGUCGCAAGACCAAAGAGGGGGACCUUCGGGCCUCUUGCCACCAGAUGUGCACAGAUGGGAUUAGCUAGUAGGUGGGGUAACGGCUCCCCUAGGCGACGAUCCCUAGCCGGUCUGAGAGGAUGACCAGCCACACUGGAACUGAGACACGGUCCAGACUCCUACGGGAGGCAGCAGUGGGGAAUAUUGCACAAUGGGCGCAAGCCUGAUGCAGCCAUGCCGCGUGUAUGAAGAAGGCCUUCGGGUUGUAAAGUACUUUCAGCGGGGAGGAAGGUGUUGAGGUUAAUAACCUCAGCAAUUGACGUUACCCGCAGAAGAAGCACCGGCUAACUCCGUGCCAGCAGCCGCAGUAA
rnacentral:rRNA from 1 species